AGCCGAGUGAUGAUCACAUAGCGAACUAUUCUUUCGCCUUUUACUAAAGAAUACCGUGUGAGCGUUGCUAUUAGCGGCAUACACUAGUUUUUGGGAGAGUCCUCUUCACAGAGGGC
rnacentral:snRNA from 2 species